rnacentral:misc_RNA from 1 species
CUCAGCCUUUUCUUUUCCACGUAUCAAACUCUCCCUUGCACGGCGGACGGCGGUAGAUAUUUUUGCUUGUGCUCAUCCACUCAUCGCUACCAUCCGAUAUUUUUGCCGUACGCAGGUUCUUCGAGCGGCGCCUGAGCUCAUCUUCUUCCUUAUCCCCGCCGCUCCUCUGCUCAGGAUUUUUCUCUCGUCAUCCCGCGUGGACAUUUGCUAUGGGCCCAGCUCGCCGGUUGCCACCGCUCAGCUUCAGAAAUAUCCCGCCGUCGUUCGGUGGUAUUUAUCUCCCCAGCUCGCUCGCUCCUGGCCUU